AUUGAACGCUGGCGGCAGGCCUAACACAUGCAAGUCGAACGGUAGCACAGAGAGCUUGCUCUCGGGUGACGAGUGACGGACGGGUGAGUAACGUCUGGGAAACUGCCCGAUGGAGGGGGGUAACUACUGGAGACGGUAGCUAAUACCGCAUAACGUCGCAAGACCAAAGUGGGGGACCUUCGGGCCUCACACCAUCGGAUGUGCCCAGAUGGGAUUAGCUAGUAGGUGGGGUAAUGGCUCACCUAGGCGACGAGCCCUAGCUGGUCUGAGAGGAUGACCAGCCACACUGGAACUGAGACACGGUCCAGACUCCUACGGGAGGCAGCAGUGGGGAAUAUUGCACAAUGGGCUCAAGCCUGAUGCAGCCAUGCCGCGUGUAUGAAGAAGGCCUUCGGGUUGUAAAGUACUUUCAGCGGGGAGGAAGGCGGUGAAGUUAAUAACUUCACCGAUUGACGUUACCCGCAGAAGAAGCACCGGCUAACUCCGUGCCAGCCGCCGCAGUAAAAC
rnacentral:rRNA from 1 species